GGGAGCCCCGGAGAGCGUCCUGGGACGGGCGGCGACACGGAGUAGCCAGGCGGGCCGGGUUCUGUGGUGCUUCGUGGCUCUGUAGCGGGAUUCUCAUCCGGCUCUGAGGAGUCCUACAAACACAGGCGCCGAAAGGCAGGCUUCUCGGGUCUGGAUGCUGAUGGACUGGGCCCACGGGCAGCUGAGAGCUUACCUUCUGAUUUGAGGCGGUCAUCAUUCUGAUCCAUGUAUUCCAAGGAGUUUUGCUUCUCCAACUUUCUCUUCUUCCUGCAAAUCAAACCAGCCCCCACCAAGAACAGAGCUAUUGACUACAGGAUAUGGAUACAAAGGGUUCUAGCGGACACAGAAGAAGCCUUGUGAUGGGAAGAUGGGCUGGGAAUGGUAGUCUUUGGAAUAAGGCACAUCUAGGUUUGCACGUUAAAACUGUUGUCAGCUGUGGGUAGGCUAUUUAUCCAAUGUGAGUUUUAGAUUUUUUUUUCCCUGUAAACUGUACUGCCUUGACUUAAAGGGCAGCCCACUAACCCAGCUGGCUGUCAAACCCAAGGAGAAAUCACCAUCAACAGUGCCCUAGGGGUCAGAGGUAACUGAGCCCAGAUGCAGUUCCAAACACAAUGGAAAAAUACACUUGGAAAGGUACACACUAGGAGGAAAAAAAAUUCAAAGAGACGAAGGCAGAAUUGGGAGCUGGGGUGAGGAAUGGCUCAUUUGGUAAAAUGAUUGUCUUAUAAGCAUGAGGGCCCGAGUCUAACGCUAAGAAUCCACAUAAGAAAGAUAGGUGUAGUCGCAUACAAUUGUAGUCCCAGCACUAAGAAAGCAAAGACAGGCAGAAGAAUAACAGCAAAGGUGGACUUCUGACAUCCACACACAUGUGCAUCUAUACACACAUGGACCAAACCAACAUGUAUGCAUUCUUAUAGAAACUAUAGAAACACACACACACACACACACACACACACACACACACACACACACACACACAUGGGGAAAGAGAGAGAGAGAGAGGGAGAGAGAGAGAGAGAGAGAGAGAGAGAGAGAGUGUAAGAGUACUUGAGAAAUAAGGAUAUAGCUCAGUAGUGGAAUGACUGCCUAGUAUGAACAUGAACCCCAGAUUCAAUGCUAGAAACAUUAAACUUGGGGUUGAAACGGA